CAAAACGCGGUUCGCAACCCUCCCGCGAUAACAAAACUAAGGAAUU
rnacentral:ncRNA from 1 species